AGGUACAUGGAAUUGAUCUCAGACAUUGUUAAAGAAUUUAGUGCCUCUACGCAUACUCCCCAGGAGAUUAAACUUUUCCAGCAGCUGCUACCUGAUUUAGCUCGGAGACCGAUGUAUACUGCCAUAUGAUACAGCUAGAGAGGAAUCAGAAGAAGGGUCAAUUUACAUGCAUUCUCAAAGUAGCAGGAAGAACAAAAUCACUGGCCAAAAUACAGAUUCCUACAGAUCAACUUGGAACUUUGGCACUCCAUCGUGCACCUACUAAUAUUGUGGGGCCAUUUUGUGGUGUGAGGAGCGGACGGAAAAAACAAGAAAGACAACACAACCAAAAUUAAAAAUUUGUUGUAUGGAAGGACGUUUACGACUACCGUUACUGAGUCAACCACCACCCUAUCUAAAAUAUCUUUUAGGGAUAGAAUCCGGACAAUUGGGUAUCAAUUUUAGAAAAACCAUAAGGGUUUAUAACUCUAUGUUUGCAUUUACAUCUAUGGGAGGCCAAGUUGACAGAUCUAUCAAUCGUUCAAAGGGCCCAUAUGUUUUCAGGAUGAGUGGUCAAAAUUAUCAUCACACUAGCUCUCUGUUGCCGGAAAUAGGCAAGAGCCCACGGUUUUCCCAGCUCUAUAUAUAUGAUACUGAAAAUGAGAUAGAUAACAAAAUGAAUAGUCUGUUGCAUGAAGAAGUUGAUCUACAAAUUGUACGGGGAUAUCAGAAAUGUUAGACGAGCAUAAUAUUCUGGUAAAAUUAUUUCAGAUGGCAAGGGAUAGAUAUAAACAUCAAUCGGAAUCU